GCAGUCAUGGCCUGAUGGUUAGCGUCUCGGACAUGUGACCCGAAGGUCGUGGGUUCGAGUCUCAGGUCCGGCA